CUGGUUGAUCCUGCCAGUAGUCAUAUGCUUGUCUCAAAGACUAAGCCAUGCAUGUCUAAGUAUAAAUGGUAUACAGUGAAACUGCGAAUGGCUCAUUAAAACAGUUAUAGUUUAUUUGGUAAUCGAAUUUACAUGGAUAACCGUGGUAAUUCUAGAGCUAAUACAUGCUGUAAAGCCCGACUUUUCGGAAGGGCCGUAUUUAUUAGAUAACAGACCAAUAUUCCUCGUGUCUAUUGUGGUGAAUCAUAGUAACUAAUCGGACCGCAUGGGCUAGUCCCGCGACAAACCAUUCAAGUUUCUGCCCCAUCAGCUUUCGAUGGUAGUGUAUUGGACUACCAUGGCUUUUACGGGUAACGGAGGAUUAGGGUUCGAUUCCGGAGAGGGAGCCUGAGAAACGGCUACCACAUCUAAGGAAGGCAGCAGGCGCGUAAAUUACCCAAUUCUAAUUCAGAGAGGUAGUGACAAGAAAUAACGGGUCGGGGCUAUGCCCCGGGACUGCAAUGAGAUGAAUUUACACCCCUUUUCGAGUAACAAUUGGAGGGCAAGUCUGGU
rnacentral:rRNA from 1 species